AAUCAACGCUGGCGGCGUGCCUCAGACAUGCAAGUCGAACGCGAAAUUUCCCUUCGGGGAGAAAGUAGAGUGGCGCACGGGUGAGUAACACGUAGGUAAUCUACCUUUGGAUGGGGAAUAACACCGAGAAAUCGGUGCUAAUACCGCAUAAUGCAGCGGCACCUAAUGGUGACAGUUGUUAAAGCGGGGGAUCGCAAGACCUCGCGUCUAAAGAGGAGCCUGCGGCGGAUUAGCUAGUUGGUAAGGUAAUGGCUUACCAAGGCGACGAUCCAUAACCGGCCUGAGAGGGCGGUCGGUCACACUGACACUGACAUACGGGUCAGACUCCUACGGGAGGCAGCAGUCGGGAAUUUUGGGCAAUGGGCGAAAGCCUGACCCAGCAACGCCGCGUGAAGGAUGAAAUCCCUCGGGAUGUAAACUUCGCAAGAACGGGAAGAAUAAGCCGGUGUGAAUACCACCGGCGAUGACGGUACCGUUUGUAAGCUCCGGCUAACUCCGUGCCAGCAGCCGCGGU
rnacentral:rRNA from 1 species